rnacentral:rRNA from 1 species
UAUUGGACAAUGGGCGCAAGCCUGAUCCAGCAAUACCGCGUGUGUGAAGAAGGCCUUAGGGUUGUAAAGCACUUUCAAUUGGGAGGAAAACCUGCCGGUCAAUACCCGGUAGCUUGACAUUACCUUUAGAAGAAGCACCGGCUAACUCCGUGCCAGCAGCCGCGGUAAUACGGAGGGUGCGAGCGUUAAUCGGAAUUACUGGGCGUAAAGCGUGCGUAGGCGGUUCGUUAAGUCAGAUGUGAAAGCCCUGGGCUCAACCUGGGAACGGCAUUUGAAACUGGCGGACUAGAGUUUAGUAGAGGGGAGUGGAAUUUCAGGUGUAGCGGUGAAAUGCGUAGAUAUUUGAAGGAACACCAGUGGCGAAGGCGACUCCCUGGACUAGAACUGACGCUGAGGACGAAA